ensembl:snoRNA
AGCGAGACUAGAGUCACACCCCGACACCCUCCUCAUUGUCCUGGUGUGCUAGAGUCCUCGCAGAUCAAACUUCUCUGCUUAUUCAUUGGCUGCAGCAACUCAGGGCUCAGCUGAUCACCGGCUCAGAGACACUU